rnacentral:rRNA from 1 species
GAUGAACGCUGGCGGCGUGCCUAAUACAUGCAAGUCGAGCGAACAGACGAGGAGCUUGCUCCUCUGACGUUAGCGGCGGACGGGUGAGUAACACGUGGAUAACCUACCUAUAAGACUGGGAUAACUUCGGGAAACCGGAGCUAAUACCGGAUAAUAUAUUGAACCGCAUGGUUCAAUAGUGAAAGACGGUUUUGCCGUCACUUAUAGAUGGAUCCGCGCAGCAUUAGCUAGUUGGUAAGGUAACGGCUUACCAAGGCAACGAUGCGUAGCCGACCUGAGAGGGUGAUCGGCCACACUGGAACUGAGACACGGUCCAGACUCCUACGGGAGGCAGCAGUAGGGAAUCUUCCGCGAUGGGCGAAAGCCUGACGGAGCAACGCCGCGUGAGUGAUGAAGGUCUUCGGAUCGUAAAACUCUGUUAUUAGGGAAGAACAAAUGUGUAAGUAACUAUGCACGUCUUGACGGUACCUAAUCAGAAAGCCGCGGCUAACUACGUG